rnacentral:rRNA from 1 species
GACGUAGGUGACGAACGUUUAUCCGGAAUUAUUGGGCGUAAAGGGUGCGUAGAUGGCAUAACAAGUUAUUAGUGGUAAAUCGAGGCUCAACCUCGUGGAAGUUAGUAGUACUGCUAUGCUAGAGUGCAGGAGAGGUUGACGGAACUCCAUGUGUAGCGGUAAAAUGCGACGAUAUAUGGAUGAACAUCAAUAACGGCGAAGGCAGUUAACUAUUCUGUUACUGACAUUGAGGCACGAAAGCGUGGGGAGCAAAACGG